rnacentral:rRNA from 1 species
AGAGCGAACGCUGGCGGCAGGCCUAACACAUGCAAGUCGAGCGCCCCGCAAGGGGAGCGGCAGACGGGAGAGUAACACGUGGGAACGUACCCUUCAGUACGGAACAACCAAGGGAAACUUUGGCUAAUACCGUAUACGUCCGUAAGGAGAAAGAUUUAUCGCUGAAGGAUCGGCCCGCGUCUGAUUAGCUUGUUGGUGAGGUAACGGCUCACCAAGGCUACGAUCAGUAGCUGGUCUGAGAGGAUGAUCAGCCUCACUGGGACUGAGACACGGCCCAGACUCCUACGGGAGGCAGCAGUGGGGAAUAUUGGACAAUGGGCGCAAGCCUGAUCCAGCCAUGCCGCGUGGGUGAUGAAGGCCCUAGGGUUGUAAAGCCCUUUCGGCGGGGAAGAGUAAUGACGGUACCGCAGAAGAAGCCCGGCUAACUUCGUGCCAGCAGCCGC